rnacentral:rRNA from 1 species
AGAAGGACCGGCUAACUACGUGCCAGCAGCCGCGGUAAUACGUAGGUCCCGAGCGUUAUCCGGAAUUAUUGGGCGUAAAGGGCACGUAGGCGGACAAAUAAGUUUGAUGUCAAAUAUGAUGGCUCAACCAUCAAGAGGCGUUGAAAACUGUUUAUCUAGAAUCUCGGAGAGGUAAGUGGAAAUUCCAUGUGUAGCGGUGGAAUGCGUAGAUAUAUGGAGGAACACCAAUGGCGAAGGCAGCUUACUGGACGAAGAUUGACGCUGACGGUGCGAAAGCGUGGGUAGCCAAACAGGAUUAGAUACCCUGGUAG